ACCCAGCCCCAAUCCCUUCAGAAAGAAAGGAAACCAAAAGGGAGAAAGAGAGAGAAUCAGCGAAGGAGAAGAGAGAUAGAGAGGGGAUGGAGUCACCGGUUGAGCUUGUUGGUGCGUCGUCCAACCGCUGCCGCCGUCAUCGCACGUGAGAGGAGGGAGAGCGUCGAAGUUGUCGCACGCAGAGGAAAGAAACAGCGUCGCGGUUGGAGCCGCACCCUUCUGCCACCAUCGAGUCACCCUUUGCCGUCACCGUAGUCGUCAUCCUCGCGAGCUACAGCAUUGCCGUUCAACCCCAUCCGGCCGCGUUUCCAUGGUCGCCGUUGCUGUCACAUGAGGAAGAAAGCAAGAGAGGAGAGGUGGUGAACAAAGUUGUCGCGUCUUGUCGCCAUCGUGCACGCUGCCACGAUCGAUUGAAGCCACCUCCGUCGCAACCAACCCGUCGUAGUUUAUGUCGCUGCCGGUCCCUGUUGGAUUCCACCGUGGAGAAAAGAACGACACGAGGGAGAGAAUGAGACAGAGUCGUGCGAGCCAGAGGAGCCACCGUCCUUGCUGUUGCUGCCACGGUCGCCGGUGAGUCAUGCACCGCCAUCAGAAUAAAAAAUAGCACCAACCUUCUUGUUCUGGUUUUAAUUCUCUUAUUCUUGAACCUGUGAUAGUAUUAAUGGUACUAACGAACUAUUAGAGUUGCUGCCACUACUGAAAUUAACAAAGAAGGGAUCAUCGCAUUUAAAUUCGAUGGGUUCGACUAACUGAGGAGACAGAUGAAAAAGCUCACAAAGGGUUGUAUUGCGUUUCGCUUAGUCAAUAAUGCUGUUUAGUUUUUAUUUAUUUACCCCUCGCCAUCAAUAUUAUAUUAUGUAAGAAGGACAUGAGUUGUAUGAUUUGUAUGUAUAUAAUAUGUAUAAG